rnacentral:rRNA from 1 species
UGGGCGUCGAGCGGCGGACGGGUGAGUAAUGCCUAGGAAAUUGCCUUGAUGUGGGGGAUAACCAUUGGAAACGAUGGCUAAUACCGCAUAAUGCCUACGGGCCAAAGAGGGGGACCUUCGGGCCUCUCGCGUCAAGAUAUGCCUAGGUGGGAUUAGCUAGUUGGUGAGGUAAUGGCUCACCAAGGCGACGAUCCCUAGCUGGUCUGAGAGGAUGAUCAGCCACACUGGAACUGAGACACGGUCCAGACUCCUACGGGAGGCAGCAGUGGGGAAUAUUGCACAAUGGGCGAAAGCCUGAUGCAGCCAUGCCGCGUGUAUGAAGAAGGCCUUCGGGUUGUAAAGUACUUUCAGUUGUGAGGAAGGGUGU